rnacentral:lncRNA from 1 species
GAAGGAUUCAACCUGCUGAAUGCUCCAAAUAGUCCACAUGACCCAGAUGAGCAAGGUUUCCUCCUUACCACCUCUAUUCUGCCCUAGUCUUCUCUCUCCUUCCUUUUCUUCCUGAAUACUUUUUUUUACCUACUUCUACCAUUUGUCUAUAAAACUGUUACCAGAGUGCAAGCUUUGAUAAAUCAAUGUCUCUCUUUUAUUUUUGUUUUCUUUUUGCUGAAUUUCUCAUACCUGAUAGGCAAGUAAUGAGCUGUGUCCCCAACCAUUUCUUAUUUUUAUUUAAAUGCAGGUUCUCACUAAGUUGCCUGGCUGGCCUCAGAAUUAUGAUCUUCCUGCCUGACAUAUCUUGGUCAUUAGCAUUAGAGAUGUGCACCACUGUACUUUGCAAAGAAAUAAUUAUAUAUGUGUGUUUUUAGUUCAAAUGUCCAGCAUCUGAAACAAUGCAGGCAUACAAUAAGUACUCAAAAAACAAUUGCAUGCUGGGCACAGUGGUGCAUGCCUAUAAUCCCAGUGGCUCAGGAGGCUGAGACAGGAGGAUCAAAGCCAGCCUCAACAAUGGUGAGGCACUAAACAACUGAGACCUGAUUUCUAAAUAAAAAACAAGAAAAUAGUGCUGGGGAUGUGGCUCAGUGGAUGAGUGCCUCUGAGUUCAAUCCUCAGUACCCAUCCCCCCAAAAAAAAUUUCGUGUGGCUGGGCUCAAUUAUAGAGUGCCUAUGCUUAGCAUGAGCAAGCCAUAGUUUCCAUCCCUAGCAAUGCAAAAACAAAGCAAAUGGAUCAAACAAACAAAACCAUUUACAUAAAUGAAUGAUAAGACCCUUUAUCUAGAUCCUGGAAAGUAUUCAAUAAAUGCCAGCCAUUGUUAUGUCUCACAUUAAAAUCAAAUAGGAAUUCUGUGGAUGCAACUGCCCUCUGGCUUCUUUAUCCAGGGUGAAAACCUCAUGGUAACCUUAGUCUCUGCUGUUCCCUGAGCCCACCCUCAGUCAGUUAUCAAAACUUAUCUUAUGGUGCAGAUACAACUGGCUCCUACCUGCUGUUGCCACCUCGGUUGGGGUUCACUCUUAGUGCUCCUCUUCAACCCCAUCACUUCCCUUCAAUCCAUUCUCCACAGUCCAUCUCAGAAAUAGGAGGGUGCCACUCCAAGUGUUCUUAGGAGACAGAACUGAAGUGGUUGGUAUGUAGAUUAAUGUGCUUGCCAAUCUCUGAGCAAGGAUCUCCUUAUUCUUUUCUUUUAAGGUGCUGGGGAUGAGACCCAGGGCCUUGCACAGGCUAGGUAAGCACUCUACCUCAGAGCCACACCCCAAACACUCACCACAGUCUUCAUGUUGCUGGAUAUGACAUUGC